rnacentral:rRNA from 1 species
AGGGAUCAUUACUGAGUUUACGCUCUAUAUACCCUUUGUGAACAUACCUAUAACUGUUGCUUCGGCGGGUAGGGUCUCCGCGACCCUCCCGGCCUCCCGCCUCCGGGCGGGUCGGCGCCCGCCGGAGGAUAACCAAACUCUGAUUUAACGACGUUUCUUCUGAGUGGUACAAGCAAAUAAUCAAAACUUUUAACAACGGAUCUCUUGGUUCUGGCAUCGAUGAAGAACGCAGCGAAAUGCGAUAAGUAAUGUGAAUUGCAGAAUUCAGUGAAUCAUCGAAUCUUUGAACGCACAUUGCGCCCGCCAGCAUUCUGGCGGGCAUGCCUGUUCGAGCGUCAUUUCAACCCUCAAGCUCUGCUUGGUGUUGGGGCCCUACAGCUGAUGUAGGCCCUCAAAGGUAGUGGCGGACCCUCCCGGAGCCUCCUUUGCGUAGUAACUUUACGUCUCGCACUGGGAUCCGGAGGGACUCUUGCCGUAAAACCCCCCAAUUUUCCAAAGGUUGACCUCGGAUCAGGUAGGAAUACCCGCUGAACUUAA